rnacentral:rRNA from 1 species
UACAGAGGUCCCAAGCGUUGUUCGGAUUCACUGGGCGUAAAGGGUGCGUAGGUGGCCAGGUAAGUUUGGUGUGAAAGCUCGGAGCUUAACUCCGAAAAGUCAUUGAAUACUAUCUGGCUGGAGGGUCGGAGGGGAGACUGGAAUUCUCGGUGUAGCAGUGAAAUGCGUAGAUAUCGAGAGGAACACCAGUGGCGAAGGCGAGUCUCUGGACGACUCCUGACACUGAUGAGCGAAAGCCAGGGGAGCAAACGGG